GCUGCGUAGCUCAGUUGGUUGAGCAUCUGACUUCGGCUCAGGUCAUGAUCUCACAGUCCGUGGGUUCAGGCCCCGCUGACAGCU
rnacentral:tRNA from 1 species